UUCAUUUCCUUUAGUUAAUGAAAGACAUAAGAAGAGUCUCAUCAUCAGUUAAAGGGUUAUAGAAAUCACAGCAUCAAUUGCAACCAGAGCUUUCAAGUCAACUGCCUUCUGACGGGGCAGUGUUCUCUCCUCUCUAUGGAGCCUGAGCUGUGAUUUAGCCAUGUCCAAGUGCUGCCUGGCAGGCUCCAGUGACAAAAGCAGUUACUCAUUGCUGCUCAGCUAUAGACUGAAUAUGGGCAUGGGACAACACUAAAAGCUGUUACACAGCAAGAAAAGAAAUAAGACUUCUAAAUGGUAGCUGCUACUAAGACAAUUUAAUGUUGUUCAAUCUCUCAUUUUUAUAGUGCUGUGUAUUGAAUCUACAUCCUCACACAUGCCAGAAUCCUCAAAGAACAGCGUUUGAAACAUCCGUUUCCACGUGGUGCUCAAAGUAGCCCGUGGCAGAUUGUAGACUGAUGAAACACCCCUUUGUGGCCUUGAGGGUGAUGCUCACAUGUGAACCCUGGCAGAGCUGCUAACUGAAGGAGGCUGGUUCAUCAAUAACACCACAUAACAACUAUCCCAGAUCUGGAACAUCUUUCUGAUUUCUCUAUACGAUAUUCUUUAUGGUGCCUUCAGAAAGCAAAUCUUGAAGAAAAUGAGCCUCCAUCCCUUGGUACUCCAGGAGGGUUGUGUUUCGUGGUAUCUUAGUAUCAGUAGUAUUUCUCCAGGUCCGGGGAGCUAUGGAUUCAGCAGGCAUGCCGUCAUUCUGCGUUUAUGGAAUUUAAAGUCCGGUGAAGAAAGAAUAUGGAAUAAACAAGAAAAUGAUGCACAUUUUGUUAAGUGUCUGCAUUUUUGAGUAGCACAUGGAAAGGGUCACAAAGGAGUUGUUGGAGACCUAUUCAGAUGGAGUGAAGUCUUCUAAAGGAUGAGAAAAGACACCAGUGUAUGGACUGUAGGGAGUGGAUAACUUUAAAAAUUGGUAACACGAUGCCAACUGCAAAUUUCACAGGAAUAUUUGGACAAAGUAAACCUGUCAUUCAGUGUAUGUCCAAAAGCACAGAUAACUCUAAACUAUGUUGUCUUUGUUUAUACAUGUCAUAUAUACAUACAUGCAUGCACACAUACCUGUGAUAAGGUUUAAUUGAUAAUAUAGACAUA